rnacentral:lncRNA from 1 species
ACGACAAAGAAAAGAAGGAACAAUGGUCGUGCCAAAAUGGGCCAUGGCCACAUGCAGCUUAUUUGCUGCACGAACUGUGCCCAAUGCGUGCCCAAGGACAAGGCCAUUAAGAAAUUCGUCAUUUGAAACAUAGUGGAGGCUGCAACAGUCAGGGACAUUUCUGAAAUAAGCAUCUUCGAUGCCUAUGUGCUUCCCAAGCUGUAUGUGAAGCUGCAUCACUGUGUGGGUUGUGCGAUUCACAGCAAAGUAGUCAGGAAUUGACCUCGUGAAGCCCAUAGUGACCAAACACCCCCACCCAGAUUUAGACCUGCGGAUGCUGCCCCACGACCCCCACCAAGCCCAUGUAA